CAGCAGUAGCCGCGGUAAUACAGAGGGUGCGAGCGUUAAUCGGAUUUACUGGGCGUAAAGCGUGCGUAGGCGGCUAAUUGAGUCGGAUGUGAAAUCCCCGAGCUUAACUUGGGAAUUGCAUUCGAUACUGGUUAGCUAGAGUGUGGGAGAGGAUGGUAGAAUUCCAGGUGUAGCGGUGAAAUGCGUAGAGAUCUGGAGGAAUACCGAUGGCGAAGGCAGCCAUCUGGCCUAAUACUGACGCUGAGGUACGAAAGCAUGGGGAGCAAACAGGAUUAGAUACCCCGGUAGUCCCUGUCUCUUAUAC
rnacentral:rRNA from 1 species